GAUGAACGCUAGCGGCAGGCCUAACACAUGCAAGUCGAGGGGUAGCAGGAUUAAGCUUGCUUAAUUGCUGACGACCGGCGCACGGGUGCGUAACGCGUAUGCAACCUACCUUAUACUGGGGUAUAGCCCGGAGAAAUUCGGAUUAAUCCCCCAUAGUACUAAUGAAUCGCAUGGUUUAUUAGUUAAAGCAUUGCGGUAUAAGAUGGGCAUGCGUCCUAUUAGCUAGAUGGUGAGGUAACGGCUCACCAUGGCUACGAUAGGUAGGGGGCCUGGGAGGGUGGUCCCCCACACUGGUACUGAGAGACGGACCAGACUCCUACGGGAGGCAGCAGUGAGGAAUAUUUGUCAAUGGGCGCAAGCCUGAACCAGCCAUGCCGCGUGCAGGAAGAAUGCCCUAUGGGUUGUAAACUGCUUUUAUUUGGGAAUAAACCUCUUUACGUGUAGAGAGCUGAAGGUACCAAAUGAAUAAGCACCGGCUAACUCCGUGCCAGCCGCCGCCGUAA
rnacentral:rRNA from 1 species